GAUCCGAGGGGGAGACGUGAGCAUCUCUAAUGCUGGAGAUGAAACACCCCCACAGUCCCCGCCGCCUAAAGAGGAGGAGGAACGAGCCACAAGAGGAAGGAGGGAAAGGGAUUUUUUCCCCUAGUCCCUUAAUCCACCUUCCUCCAUACUAAUCUGAAGAUGACUUUUUGUGUGGUCAAUGAGGAGGUCAGAGCUCAAGGACAAUUUGCUGGGCAUCUGGGCUAGAUCUUCAGCUGGUGUAUAUCAUGCUAAUUGAGAAAUUCAUCACACCAGUAGCAGACUGGGUUCCUGAACAAGCUGGAGUUGCAUUUCUGACUAUUUCUUACUCACAGGAAAAAUCUUUUACUGGUGUUUGCUGUUGGCAGACAGCACAGACCUCAAAACCUCAACUGUGAAACUGCAGAGCAGUGAGAGGUGACAUAUGGUCUUCUCUGUGUUUCAGAUGAAUUUUCUGACAAGUUGCAAAGCCAGAAAGCUUCAUGGCAAUUCUUAGCUAGAUUGCUUAAUGAUGGAGCCAGAAAAGGCAAAAACUGUUUCAAAAGAUACAACAUAGCUUAAACCAAAGUUACAGGCUUGCUGCAGAAAUUACUGGGUGAGGUUCUUCGGGCUAAGUCAAACUGCAGAUCUAACUAAAUGGUCAUUUUGGGCUUUAAAUCCAUGAAAGUGCUUUGCCUAAAAUAAGAUCGUUAUGGAUCUCAUCUCAAGUCUGUUUUAAAGUUCUAAAAACUUUCAUUAAAUAUUUCACGCAUUAAAAUGUUUCACAGGAUUUCUCUUGUUGAAUACUCAGCUUUGGGUUAUGAUAGGAAGCAAACCACUGGAGACAGAAGUCUUUCUGCUCCAGCAAUAAUAUAAGGAAGGCUGAAUUGAGUCAGACCAAAGGUCUUAACAGCCUGGCAUCCUGCAUUUGAUCAAGGCCUGUAGCAUAUGCCUAGAGUAGGAACAUAAAGACAGAGCAGCUACAGCUUCACCUUUUCUUGUAUUUAACAUCUCAGUUUCUGAAAAUCUGCAGUUUAAGGACUUCUAGAAUUGGAGACUAAGUCCAUCUCUCACCAAAGUAGCCUUUUGUUCCAUUAAUUUGUCUUGUCACUUCUUCCAGCCAUUAAUACUUCUAGCAUCUAAAGUAUCUUAUGG